GUCUACGGCCAUGUCACCCUGAACAAGCUCGAUCUCGUCUCAUAUUGGAAGCUAAGCAGCGUCGGGCCUCGUUAGUGCUUGGAUGGGAGACCACCUAGGAAGACCAGGUGCUAUAGCCG
rnacentral:rRNA from 1 species